rnacentral:rRNA from 1 species
GACGAACGCUGGCGGCGUGCCUAAUACAUGCAAGUCGAACGCAUUUUCUUUCACCGUAGCUUGCUACACCGAAAGAAAAUGAGUGGCGAACGGGUGAGUAACACGUGGGUAACCUGCCCAUCAGCGGGGGAUAACACUUGGAAACAGGUGCUAAUACCGCAUAAUUCCAUUUACUGCAUGGUAGAUGGAUGAAAGGCGCUUUUGCGUCACUGAUGGAUGGACCCGCGGUGCAUUAGCUAGUUGGUGGGGUAACGGCCUACCAAGGCUGCGAUGCAUAGCCGACCUGAGAGGGUGAUCGGCCACACUGGGACUGAGACACGGCCCAGACUCCUACGGGAGGCAGCAGUAGGGAAUCUUCGGCAAUGGACGCAAGUCUGACCGAGCAACGCCGCGUGAGUGAAGAAGGUUUUCGGAUCGUAAAACUCUGUUGUUAGAAAAGAACAAGGAUGAGAGUGGAAAGUUCAUCCCUUGACGGCAUCUAACCAGAAAGCCACGGCUAACUACGUG